rnacentral:rRNA from 1 species
GAUGAACGCUGGCGGCGUGCCUAAUACAUGCAAGUCGAGCGAACGGACGAGAAGCUUGCUUCUCUGAUGUUAGCGGCGGACGGGUAAGUAACACGUGGAUAACCUACCUAUAAGACUGGGAUAACUUCGGGAAACCGGAGCUAAUACCGGAUAAUAUUUUGAACCGCAUGGUUCAAAAGUGAAAGACGGUCUUGCUGUCACUUAUAGAUGGAUCCGCGCUGCAUUAGCUAGUUGGUAAGGUAACGGCUUACCAAGGCAACGAUGCAUAGCCGACCUGAGAGGGUGAUCGGCCACACUGGAACUGAGACACGGUCCAGACUCCUACGGGAGGCAGCAGUAGGGAAUCUUCCGCAAUGGGCGAAAGCCUGACGGAGCAACGCCGCGUGAGUGAUGAAGGUCUUCGGAUCGUAAAACUCUGUUAUUAGGGAAGAACUUAUGUGUAAGUAACUGUGCACAUCUUGACGGUACCUAAUCAGAAAGCCACGGCUAACUACGUG